GGCGCCUGUUCUGAAGAUAGACUUAGGUAGGCCUAUGAUUCUCUACUCUCAACCUUCUUUAGCUCGUCAGAUUUAGUUUGAGGUCACGUGUUUCACCUAAGUUUCGAAUGAGCAAGAACAUCAAUCACAAAGUUGUUGCACCUGCCUGCACAUUGGUCUGCACAUUCCCCAUGAUGUUUCCGGCUCCCUCUGCAAUGAUUCAGCAGAUGCAGUCGUUAAUCUCGGGUCUAUGAUAAAACAGUGUCACUCGGGUGCAUGUCCACAGGUCAUGUCGCUUGGGAAAGGCCGUGGCAGCUCACCUUGAAACUAUUCUCAGCUGGUACCCAACCGCAGCUUCCUUCCAAAGACAUUCCUGUCUGUCAGACCCAGAGAUGUGGUGCCCUCGCUGACUGGUGUGGAGGGCUCUUAACUGGCGCGGGGAUGGAUGGAUGUGUGUGCCCUAUCCAGGCCCUGACCUUGGAGCAGAUGGCAGUGGCGCCGGCAGAGGAACAAGAGGUUCCAGAAGGAAGAAGGGAAGGAGGGGGGUAAAGGAGUGAAGCGAUGGCAGGAGGAGAGGGAACAGACGAGUGCAGGGUUGUGAGGGGGCUCUGCCAGAUGUGAGUGUCAGUGUGACUGAAUGUCAGCCCUUCUGUUCCAGUGGAUGGAGGAAGACGACGACCGGACAUAAUCAAAAGCUAGGGAGCGGCCGGCCGAGAGUGAAUGAAUCAGACUGACGUUUCCAUUACCAGGCUCGGGCUCCCACGUUUGGUGGCGUAACAAUGCAAGGGCCCAGGUACGGCCCCAUCUGUUAUGCUUACACAUUUUCACGGGCACAGCUCCCCCCAGAGAUAGCUGACCGCUGACAGCCGAGGUGAGUGCACCAGAAGCCCUGUUUCAGCAGCGUUCUAUAGCUGAGAGCGGAGAUCAGCGGGCGACCUGUCACUUUGACUGACAGCCCUCUUCAGGUGAGAGCCCAAGCACAUCAGUGUGGAGGAGCGCAGGAGCUCCAGGCAUGAAAGAAAGAGGAGGAUAGAGAGAAAGAGGCAAAUUGAAAGA